CUGGGGGGGGGGCGCUCGCACUCGCAGCUCUCUGCCCCUACCUGGCUCACUCACUCUCUCUCACUGCAGUGCUGGCUGGGCGAAUCCGAUCCGAGCCGCUGGGUCGCCGCCCACUGUGGAGGGGGGGGGUGCCAGGCGUGCGGUGCGGAGAGAGAGCGAGGGACUAUCUGGGGGAGGGACAGUGCAGCGGCCGCCCAGCGCAGCGCUGAGCGCGGGAGAGAACCACACCAGACCAGACCAGGCAGCAGCAAGAAGAAGCUGGCAGUGGCGGCAGGUUAGGGGUUAGGGGGCACAAAUUACUUGCCUUGCCC